AUGACGACACAUGGGAGGAUGCACCGAUCAUCAACAAAUACAUUUCCACGUCACAAACUUCUUUGCCUUGAGGACAAGGCGCAACUCAAGAUGACGAUAGUCUAUACUGUCUCAAACUCAUCUGAACAGACACACUGCUACCUGAAGAAACACAAUACUAGCACUGAGUGGAACAAAAUUUUCCAGAGAAUGAAACACAACACUAGCACUCUCCAAAGAAUGGAACACAACACUAGCACUGAGUGGAACAAAAUGCUCCAGAGAAUGACAGACUGA
rnacentral:rRNA from 1 species